rnacentral:rRNA from 1 species
CCCUUAGAUGUUCUGGGCAGCACGCGCGCUACAAUGGUCUUCGCAAACGGAUGCAUUCUCGAAGGAGAAUGCCAAUCUUGGAAUCUAUGCCUUGGUCGGGACAGUUGCUUGCAAUUUUUCGUCUCGAACCAGGAAUUCCUUGUAAUCGUGAUUCAUCACAUCACGAUGAAUACGUCCCUGCCCUUUGUACACACCGCCCGUCGCUCCUACCGAUCGAAGAGUUAGGUGAAUUGUUUUGAUCGAUAAGAUUUGACUAUGGUCAACUCUCGUUGUGAAAUUCUGUGAAUCUGACUGUUUAGAGGAAGGAAAAGUCGUAACA